AACGAACGCUGGCGGCAUGCCUAACACAUGCAAGUCGAACGAGACCUUCGGGUCUAGUGGCGCACGGGUGCGUAACGCGUGGGAAUCUGCCCUUGGGUUCGGAAUAACAGUUAGAAAUGACUGCUAAUACCGAAUGAUGUCUUCGGACCAAAGAUUUAUCGCCCAGGGAUGAGCCCGCGUCGGAUUAGCUAGUUGGUGAGGUAAAGGCUCACCAAGGCGACGAUCCGUAGCUGGUCUGAGAGGAUGAUCAGCCACACUGGGACUGAGACACGGCCCAGAAUCCUACGGGAGGCAGCAGUGGGGAAUAUUGGACAAUGGGCGAAAGCCUGAUCCAGCAAGGCCGCGUGAGUGAUGAAGGCCUUAGGGUUGUAAAGCUCUUUUACCCGGGAUGAUAAUGACAGUACCGGGAGAAUAAGCCCCGGCUAACUCCGUGCCAGCCGCCGCGGUAA
rnacentral:rRNA from 1 species